UUCAAAUUCAAUCUUCCUGUGUGACAUCUCCUCGUCUAUAUAUCUACAUAUAUACUGUCUAUUCAUUCUGCGAGGAGUGGAGAAUUUUCUAUGGCGAUCACGUGAGACCACCUGACGUUGUUCAUGGUGGAUAAGAGGUGGAGAGAGGGAUACAUGAUUUAUGAAAAAUAGGAAAUACUAUGAGGAUGGAAGAUAAAAAAAAGGGUCUCGACGGAAAAACCCGGAAAACUUUUCGGGCCACAAAGCGGAACGGCUGAUAAGCUACGUCGAUCAGAAGCAUCCCGGCUGGGGAUAUCCUGUCGGCGACAUCAGCACGUCCUAUAUACGAUCCUAUUCGUUGACAGCGAGAGCUGCUUGAUAGUCGGUUAUUGGCAGGUGCCUGUCAAGAGAAAAAAAUCCUGAAAGCUGUCCACGAUGCGAAUGAGAAAGUCCGCCAUAUUGAUACCGAUUAUUAUCACGAUCACGUGUUUAUCCAUCGACAGCAGCACAUUCCCUUGUAUAUCAAGAGCACAAUGAUGUUGUGGUGGCUGAAUUUUCUUCUCACAGUGUCUGCUGAGUAUUACCUGACGCUACUACUACUCGUCACGGAUGGCUUACACUAGUACUCGAGGAAAGGAUCCGAGGACCUUUUACGUUGCCGAGAACAUUGGCAAUUAUCGGUUGAGAUGAUCAGGACAACAAGGAAAACAUGGGAGUAAUUUAAAUUACACAAGUAGGAGGACACUAGUCAGGAAUAUUUUAAAUUUAUGUGCACGAGGAUCCCUGCCAAUAUCCUCCAGACAUUGUCCUGUUUUUCACCGCAAAGAAGAUCCCGGACGUUAUACACGGCACCGUAGGCUUUUAUGUCGCGGCUAUACAAUAUCGUCAAGAGUACACACAUGUGUUUCUCUUGUAAAACCCUUCUACGAGGUUAUAUUUUAACAUAUGAGCCGCUUUGUUACUCGGCCGAGCCAGUAAUGCCUUCCGGAUGGUCUGAUAUGUGUCGCUACUAUCCGCACUAGCUGAACUGGGGAAGAAGCUGAAGAAUUAAUGGCUAAAAUAUAAACUACAGAGUUGCAAUAGUGAAUUGAUGAAAUCAAUCAAAAUUAAUUUUCUAUACAGU